GUUUACAUCAGAUUCUACAGUGAUGAUUGUGCUUCUUCUAGGAAACAGUGCGUCUUUGUGCGGAAAACUGAACGGAGGUGCUUCUUCAUCAGAGCUCCUGAACUUACAGCAGUCGGUCUGUUUCCUCGUUUGUGUUGAUCUGGGUGUGGCGACCUUCUUCUGGUGAUGCAACUGCACAGCUGACAUCCACCAGCAGAAUAUCUACACAAGGACUGGAGUAAACGGAAAAACUGGGAACAGCGGAAAGCAGCCAAUCCUAUCUGGAUCUGGAGCAGAUAAACGUCCAUGACUACUGCAGAGUUAUUUGACGUUAGAGUAAAC